rnacentral:rRNA from 1 species
AACGAACGCUGGCGGCGCGCCUAAUACAUGCAAGUCGAGCGAGAAGACGUAGCAAUACGUUUGUAAAGCGGCGAACGGGUGAGGAAUACAUGGGUAACCUACCCUCGAGUGGGGAAUAACUAGCCGAAAGGUUAGCUAAUACCGCGUACGCUCCUUGGACUUCGGUUCAGGGAGGAAAGCGAUACCGUGGGUAUCGCGCUCUUGGAUGGGCUCAUGUCCUAUCAGCUUGUUGGUGGGGUAACGGCUCACCAAGGCUUCGACGGGUAGCUGGUCUGAGAGGACGAUCAGCCACACUGGCACUGCGACACGGGCCAGACUCCUACGGGAGGCAGCAGUAAGGAAUAUUGCGCAAUGGGCGAAAGCCUGACGCAGCGACGCCGCGUGGGGGAUGAAGGUCUUCGGA